ensembl:lncRNA
UGGCAUAAGGUUGAGGUAGAGCAGAGCUGCAACUGGACCUUGAUGGACAUGGAGCCAAGCAAGAAAUGCCUUUUGGGUUGUAAGCAACUGAGAUUUUUAAGUCUCUUGUUACUACAGAACAGCAUAAUCCAUGCUGAUUGAUACAAGAAUUAACACAGCUGGACUUAGAGUUAUGAAGACUUCCUUUGACAUGCCAAGGCAAUCUAGUCAUUUACUGCAGUGGUUCUUAAUAGAGGGCAGUUGAGGCCCUUCCCGCCCCUAGAAGACAUUUGGCAAUGUUUGGAGACAUUUUUAAUCGCCACAACCGGGGGUUUGUGCUGUUGCUACCUACUGGCACCUAGAGAAGAGCCACCAAGGAUGCUGCUCAACAUCCUACACUGGGGAAGACAGCUGCCUGCAACAAAGAAUCAUCCGGAAAAUGUCAAUAGUGCUAAGGUUGAGAAACCCUGACUUACUCAUUCAACAAGUAAGAAGUGCGUGCCUCUUAUGUGUUCAUACUGUUCUAGGAACUGUGAACAGCUCGACAAAACUCCUGCCUUCCCAGAGCUUACAUAGUAGUGGGAUAUACUGGAAGCUGAAUUUGUUCAAACUCAGUAUUUGCCAAAACAAGCAAAUAAACAAAAUUCGAGUUAUAAAAACAACCACUUUGGAUCUCAAAGAGAGUUCAUCUUGAAUCCCAACUACGAAAACCACUGAACCAAGCUGUGGUAGAUGGACUUGCAUUAUUCCAGCAAAUUAAAUCUUCUUCUCAGGGAAGAACGUACCUGCUUUCGUCUUCCUGUGUCUCUUGGAGCAAGGAGGAAAAACAUGUGAGCUCCCAGCACAGCAUGGCCACUAACAGAGCAGUGUACGUCCACACCUAGAACUGAACCUGGGCCGCUGAAGCAGAGCACGCCAAACAACCACUAGGCCACUGGGGCUGGCCCUAUUUCUAUUUCUAUCCUUGUUUUAAAAAAAGCUCACUAUUUUGGAUGUUCUCCUUGGACCACGCUCGUGUUUUCACAGAUACAUGGAGCACAACAGCUUUGAGUUAAUCUCGCGUCACCCACUGCAAUGUUUGAAUAAAGUAACAGAAGCCCAAGGAAUGGAGGCAUCUUGCCUAAAGUCUUCUUCCCCAGGAAAGAGUCUAGCAUAAGGGAUGAUGAUACAGGCUUUAGACCCAUCUUCAAUAUGACAGAAUGGCUUUUGCAUCUGCUCUGAAUGAGGCAAAAAUCUUACCCUGUUCAGCCAUUAUCUACUUCCUUUCUCUUUUCCUGCCAGCUGGGACCCAUAUGUGAUGAUAGGAGCAGGAGCAGCCACCUUGGAGUCAAAGAUGAAAGUCAUGUCUGGAGGAUGAUGUCAUCUGACCUCUGAUCUGUUACAAGAUAGCACUUUGUUCAUGCGAUUGUGUUUUGAAAUUUGUUUGGAGGUUUGUUAGAGUGCCUUAGACUGUACCCUGAUGCAAUGUCCCUCAAUGCUCAAUUCAAAUGGCAUGUACUCUGGGAAGAUUUCCAGAUUUCCACCUCCUUUGGUCAUAUACCAAUCAGAACUGAUCACUCUUAUCCCAGUGCUCUCUGUAUUUUGAAAAUAUUUUUAUCAGCACUUAUAAUCCUCUAGUUUUAUUAUAGUGAUUUUAAUUUAGUAUCAGUUGCCCAACAUAGAAGCCUUACCUAUGCUACUGCCUAAGCUGGGCACCCCUGUCCUGUGCUCUCAUAACACCCUGUACGUCUAUCCAACAACUAUACUUAAAUUUACUUUUUUAGUAUUUAUCUUCCUACUGUCCUGUAUAAGCUCCACAUGGACAGAACCUUGGCUGCCUUUCUGGUAACUGUAUCUCCAGUUCCCACAGGAAAUCUGGGACAUAACAGGCACAUAGCAAAUGUUUGUUGGAUAAACAAAUGAUCUCCUUAAAGUAUGGAUUACUUACAUUUGUA